UACGUAGGGGGCAAGCGUUGUCCGGAAUCAUUGGGCGUAAAGAGCGCGUAGGCGGCCCAGUAAGUCCGCUCUGAAAGUCAGGGGCUCAACCCCUGGAUGCGGGUGGAUACUGCUGGGCUAGAGUCCGGAAGAGGUGAGUGGAAUUCCUGGUGUAGCGGUGAAAUGCGCAGAUAUCAGGAGGAACACCAAUGGCGAAGGCAGCUCGCUGGGACGUGACUGACGCUGAGACGCGAAGGCGUGGGGAGCAAACAGG
rnacentral:rRNA from 1 species